ACCCGCCCCUAUCCCCCAUAGCUUAUGUUUAGAACUAGGGUUCUCUUCUGAUUUCCACAGUGAGCCUAAGCAUUUUUCAUUCCAGCAUCACUCUAAUCUUCUGACUCCAGCAUCGGCGAUUAGCGAAGGCAACGAUUUGGCGACGGCGAUCUAGCUCUCUCGUUGGUGUGGUGUCGUGUUUGUGUCACCCAUGGCGUUAUCUGUGACUGCGACCUUGCGUUGCCCAUCUCUCUACUAGGGUCUGUUGAAGAAUUCAAGGUCUCUUCCUCAAGCUUCAACUUCGAUUUCUUUCCGAUCUUCUCCUGCAUAUCUCAGCCGCACAAAGCCCUUGUCAAUUCGAUCUGCUUCAAUCGAAGCAACACGAUUGGCGGCGAGAUUGUUCGACGGGACACUGGUUCUAUUCAAACAAGGGAAAAAAAAAUUCAUGAGUUGUAUUCUGUUUCUCAUGUUAUACAUUGCUGGAAGACCAAUAAUGUAAAUAAUUUGGAUCCCAUUUCAUGAAAUUAUUUUGGCUGUGGAGUUGUUGAAAUCUGUAAAUCGCUCUCUGGCCGUCGUUCGUCCUCCUUCGUCGUGGUUCAUUCUCCGUCGUCGUCGUUUGUCCUCCUUCUCGCGAUCAACGACCGAUCGGAAGGUUUCACAGAGAUAAGAGGGAUGAGAGAGAUGUGGGGAAUGAGAGGGAUGAGGGAACAUAGAUGUGGGGAAUGAGAGGGAUGACCCGUUGGCACACAUAGAAGCAACAGUAGCCUCGUCGGCGGCACACAGGUCGACUCCUCUCUUUACUCUCUGAACAGGGCUACCAAUCGCUAAUGGGUCUCCUCUCUCUCACUCUCUCUACUUUGUUCUCUUGGUUUUUUAUUUUUUUUAUUUGAAAUGAAAUGUAAGAGUGAAAACAGAGAUGAGUUGUACAAAGAAACGAGGAGUGUACAAAGAACUCGGGCCAUUCGAGCCUCAUGAUUUUCGAGCUACCAAUUGCUAUUGUUAAAGAAAAUGGAAAAAUCAAUACAAUAAUUGUGUUUCUUAGAUAA